ACUGCUCGAACUCAACCCCGUGUCCCCUCGAUGCCUCAACCCCAUCACCCCUUCCAUCGCCCCGCAGCUUCGGUCUCGAUGUCUCGGGUCGAAGACGCUCCGCCCAAUCCCCAAUUCCUCUACUCCUUGCCUCCUUCUCUUUCUGUUCCCAGUUUCUCCGAUUAGCUCGUUGGUUCCCAGGAGCUGGUCCGAGCUUGUUGUUAGAUUGGACAGGUCCGUUGCUCGGCAUUGUUGGGGUUUGACCUCUCUGCCUCUUGCUUGCUUCUUGAUUUGGAGCGAAAGGUAUCUACUCUGUGGCUGACAAGAGCUUUUUCGAGCUCUCGCAUUCCGCCGAAAUUUGCGGGGUUUAGGAUGAUGGUUAGGGUUUUCUGUCGAGUUCUUGCUUAGAUAUAGUAAAAUGUGAAUGAGGGGUCGAAGACAUCGGAGCCAAGGAUUACCUAAUUGAUCUGUUUAACUAUGUUCUAAGCCUUUGACUUUGUUGAGCGAGCUUCAAAUUUUGCGGAGAUGCAUCUAGAUCUGACUACAAUAUUGUUCCUAGUGUGAGUUCAAGAUUUGGCGGAGAUAAGUCUGGAUCUGAUUAUAAUAGCAUUGCUAGUUUGAUUAUGUUAGACGAGAUAUGGAGGAAAUCAAUAACAAAGCGGAUUUACAUGGAAAUGCCUUGCGGCCUCUAGCAAUUCGAACGCCGGGAAGUAUGAAGUCCACUUUGUCGGGGAAAUCUACUCCUAGGAAUUCUGCUCCCUACCGACGGUUGCAUACUAAUAGAACCCCUCGAAAAGAUUCUAAGGCCUAUUCCAAUUACAUCCGAGGCAACAGUGUAGUGCUCUGGCUAUUGCUCAUAACUUUAUGGGCUUAUAUAGGAUUCCAUGUGCAAUCCAAGUGGGCUCACGGUGACCAUCGGAAGGCAGAGCUCACUGGGUAUAAGAGCAAGGCAGGUAGUGCUGACAAAAUGGAGAGCACGGUAACAGCUGAAAAUUUUAACAAUUCUUCUGGGGAGAAUCUUGUAGUAUUGGAAGGAAAGAACUUGACUUCGAAGAAGCUUGGUCAUACUUUGGUCAAGAAAUUGAAAGAGGUUUCAUCAAAGCAAAAUACUACUAAGAAGAGCAAUAGAAGAAUGGUACGUAGACUACGGAAGCUUGGGGGCAAGCUGAAAGGUUCAGUGGCGGAAGAUAGAACUGGUGCGCUGGAGGAAGGUUUGAUACCAAGAAAAAAUACUUCAUAUGGGAUGAUUGUGGGGCCAUUUGGCAAGACUGAGGAUAGAAUUCUAGGUUGGAGUGCUGAUAAAAGGAGGGGCACUUGUGAUAGGAAAGGGGAAUUUGCCCGCUUUGUUUUGUCACGGUCAUUUGUGUUGAUAUUUCAUGAACUGUCCAUGACGGGAGCCCCACUCUCGAUGAUGGAAUUGGCGACGGAGCUUCUGAGCUGUGGCGGUACCGUCUCUGCUGUUGUGCUAAGCAUGAAAGGUGGGCUAAUUACCGAGCUUGACAGAAGAGGGAUUAGAGUACUUAAAGACAGGGCGCAGUUCAGCUUCAGGACUGCCAUGAAAGCAAAUCUUAUUAUAGCUGGAUCAGCUGUCUGUUCAUCCUGGAUAAACCAAUAUCUGGCACAUUUUCCAGCUGGGUCAAGUAAAAUCAUUUGGUGGAUCAUGGAGAAUCGACGAGGAUACUUUGACCGGUCAAAGGAUAUGCUUAGCAGAGUAAAGAUGCUGGCUUUCUUGUCUGAGUCACAAUCAAAACAGUGGUUAACUUGGUGUGAAGAAGAACACAUUCAUCUAACUACGCAACCUAUGAUAGUUCCUCUUUCUCUAAAUGAUGAACUGGCCUUUGUCGCUGGCAUUCCAUGUUCCCUGAAUACUCCAGCAUUCAGCGUGGAAAGCAUGCUAGAGAAGAGGAAUACAUUAAGAGCUGCUGUUAGGAAAGAGAUGGGCUUGGGAGACAACGAUAUGCUUGUGAUGUCCUUGAGCAGUAUAAACCCCACAAAAGGUCAGCGAUUAUUUCUUGAAUCAGCUCUUUUGGUGGCUGAACAUAAUGUUUCCCUGGAAGUGUUUGAGAAAAACAGGUCAUUUGCUGAGAAUUUUCCAGUAGUUACUCAUCAGAACAAGACAAUCAUAACUGUUGAGCUUAAUUCUAGCAGUAUCUCACAGUCAAUCAAGCAGGAUAAUGUCCAGCAGGGUAACACUACCAGUGCAGCAUCUAAGAAGAGGAGGAGGAAACGCACAAAAUUAGCAAAUAUACUUUCCUCGGGUAAUCACACUUCUAACAGUCUGACAAGAGAAGAUCAACGAAAACUAAGGAAUUUGCUGUCUGAUAGUAAGGCCCAAGAAGAGCAGCACCUUAAAGUUCUGAUAGGUUCACUUGGAUCCAAGAGCAACAAAGUGCUUUACGUAAAAUCGAUGCUGAGACUUCUAUCUCAACAUUCAAACCUGUCAAAACUAUUGUUGUGGACACCAGCAACUACACGGGUUCCCUCACUUUAUGCUGCAGCAGAUGUUUAUGUAAUAAAUGCCCAGGGACUUGGAGAAACAUUUGGGAGGGUUACAAUUGAAGCUAUGGCUUUUGGCCUGCCGGUUCUUGGAACAGAUGCAGGGGGCACUCGGGAGAUUGUCGAGCACAAAGUGACCGGCCUUCUGCAUCCAGUUGGGCAGCAAGGAAUACAAGUCCUGGGCCAGAAUAUUCAGUAUCUGCUGAGCAAUCCAUCAGCGAGGAACAAAAUGGGAAUGCUAGGAAGGAGGAAGGUGCAAGAGAAGUACUUGAAGAAUCAUAUGUACAACAGAUUUGCAAAGGUCCUCGCCAAGUGCAUGAAGAUCAAAUAACAAGAUUUAUUGGCUUUCACCGUACUGCAUUUUAGAUCGGUUGUGAGUUGCCACUGCACCUUGCGACUGAGGAAAUUAAUCCUUGAUUCUGAGCUCACUUCAUCUUAACAAUACUGUGCGUCGAUUGGAUGCAUUAAAUAUAUAAAUUGAGUUAUUACCAGAA